UCCAAUGAUCACACCAUGUUAAAUAUGCCCAAUCUUGGAACCGAAGCAGGUUUGGGUCUGGUUAGUACCUGGAUGGGAGACCACCUGGGAAGACCAGGUGUUGUAAGCU
rnacentral:rRNA from 1 species